GGCCAGACUCCUACGGGAGGCAGCAGUGGGGAAUAUUGCACAAUGGGGGAAACCCUGAUGCAGCGACGCCGCGUGAGCGAAGAAGUAUUUCGGUAUGUAAAGCUCUAUCAGCAGGGAAGAAAUUGACGGUACCUGAGUAAGAAGCUCCGGCUAAAUACGUGCCAGCAGCCGCGGUAAUAUGUAUGGAGCAAGCGUUAUCCGGAUUUACUGGGUGUAAAGGGAGCGUAGGCGGCCUGCCAAGUCUGAUGUGAAAUACCGGGGCUCAACCCCGGGGCUGCAUUGGAAACUGGCAGGCUGGAGUGUCGGAGAGGCAGGCGGAAUUCCUAGUGUAGCGGUGAAAUGCGUAGAUAUUAGGAGGAACACCAGUGGCGAAGGCGGCUUACUGGACAGUAACUGACGUUGAGGCUCGAAAGCGUGGGGAGCAAACAGGAUUAGAUACCCUUGUAC
rnacentral:rRNA from 1 species